rnacentral:rRNA from 1 species
UACGAAGGGGGCUAGCGUUGUUCGGAAUCACUGGGCGUAAAGCGCACGCAGGCGGAUUGAUAAGUCAGGGGUGAAAUCCCGGAGCUCAACUUCGGAAUUGCCUUUGAUACUGUCUAUCUUCGAGUUCGGGAGAGGUUGGCGGAAUUCCUAGUGUAGAGGUGAAAUUCGUAGAUAUUAGGAAGAACACCAGUGGCGAAGGCGGCCAACUGGCCCGAUACUGACGCUCAUGUGCGAAAGCGUGGGGAGCAAACAGGAUUAGAUACCCUGGUAGUCCACGCUGUAAACUAUGGAUGCUAGCCGUUGGGGAGCUUGCUCUUCAGUGGCGCAGCUAACGUCUUAAGCAUCCCGCCUGGGGAGUACGGUCGCAAGAUUAAA